rnacentral:rRNA from 1 species
UACGUAGGGUGCGAGCGUUGUCCGGAAUUAUUGGGCGUAACGAGCUCGUAGGCGGCUUGUCGCGUCGGAUGUGAAAGCCCGGGGCUUAACUCCGGGUCUGCAUUCGAUACGGGCAGGCUAGAGUUCGGUAGGGGAGAUCGGAAUUCCUGGUGUAGCGGUGAAAUGCGCAGAUAUCAGGAGGAACACCGGUGGCGAAGGCGGAUCUCUGGGCCGAUACUGACGCUGAGGAGCGAAAGCGUGGGGAGCGAACAGG